GAAGAGCGGAAAGGUGAGUGCUGCUUCCUCAAGAGAGGGCUGAGUGCAGCAGCCUGGGCUAUGUGGGACUGCUCUGGGGCUGGAGAUGCUCUCCAGAGGCUGAGGGGCAUCUUCUCAUGACGGCGCUGGAGAAGGCUUGCAGGGAAUCGCGCCUUUCUGCACAUCCCGGCAUCGGGUUAAGAAGUGGGAAGGGAGCUGCCAAAGGGAGCAGAGGUGGGCUGGAGAGGGGACUGGAGUGCCUGACUGUCCAAGCAUGUCUUUGUCUUUGUCUUUCUAGCUCCGACCCGGAGGACGGAAAGUUGGAGCAGGAGGUAGCGGGCUGCUGGACCUCCCACUCGGGGUCAAAAUCCCUGUGCAGCCUGGCACCAAGCCUGUCUUCUGCAGGACAAAGCUGGGGGAAAAGCUUCACCAGCCUUCUCCUCAUUUUGAUCUGGGAGAUCCGUACUGUCGCCAUCUGCGCACAGAAUACAACAGCCUGCAUGACCCACAUCUGCAGGACUACCACAACCGCCAAGACAACCUGCAGAACCUGAAGAAAAGGGGCUUAGUCACCAAGGAUGGCAAAGUAGGUUUGGAUGUUGGGCUGACCAACACAGCUCUCCUUGGGAGGAGCUUCCAGGCAGCCGGGAAGAGGCCUGGCACCACAGGGAGGAGCCCUCUGGUCCCUGCGAAGGACGGAGGAGGCAGCAGCCCCACAGCUGGGGAGGGGAGGGUGGAGAGAGGAGCAGCUCCCCUGCUGCUGGGGGCCUGCACAUUUGUGCAGGAAGGCCACGUGGGUAGCUACCUCGACAGUUCUUGGGAGCCAUCUGCCCUUGUCUCUCCGUAGGUGGUCUGCACUCUGAAAGAGUUCAAUGAGUACAGGCAGUACCUGACCAGGCUGAAGCUGGAGCGCGAGCAAACACAGAUGCGAGAAGAGGUAGG
rnacentral:lncRNA from 1 species